GACAGAGGAAGCGAGCGUUAUCCGGAGUUGUUGGGCGUAAAGGGCACGUAGGCGGCUGGUCAAGUCUGGGGUUAAAGACCACAGCUUAACUGUGGGGGGGCCUUGGAAACUGACCGGCUGGAGUGGGGCAGGGGUUGCGGGAAUUCCCGGUGUAGCGGUGAAAUGCGUAGAUAUCGGGAAGAACACCUGAGGCGAAAGCGCGCAACUGGGCCCUAACUGACGCUGAGGUACGAAAGCUAGGGGAGCGAAUGGG
rnacentral:rRNA from 1 species